rnacentral:rRNA from 1 species
UACGUAGGGUGCAAGCGUUAAUCGGAAUUACUGGGCGUAAAGCGUGCGCAGGCGGUGAUGUAAGACAGUUGUGAAAUCCCCGGGCUCAACCUGGGAACUGCAUCUGUGACUGCAUCGCUGGAGUGCGGCAGAGGGGGAUGGAAUUCGCGUGUAGCAGUGAAAUGCGUAGAUAAUGCGGAGGAACACCGAUGCGAAGGCAAUCCCUGGGCCGCACUGACGCUCGAUGCACGAAAGCGUGGGGAGCAAACAGGAUGAGAUACCCGGGGUAGUCCAAGAACCGAAUAUC